rnacentral:lncRNA from 1 species
CGAUAAGGAAACAUUCAUACACAAAAUGAAGUGUGAUUUUCUGCCCACAUCCCGAACCAAUAGGAAAGCAAAAGAUGAUCAAAUGACAAAAAUAAAGAAUGCUUCAACUCGAGUAAGAGGUCCUUUCGCUCCCACCUUGUGAUGUGCUCCCGAAAGCCUUGGACAGAUGGGAUCCACUCUCUCUACCUUUACAUUGAGCCAGAAACUUGUUGAAACCCGAAUGAUCGAUAGAAGGAUGCUCAACAGAUAUUCAUUCCUUAGCCAAUUUGAUGGACGCCGAAAUCACCUUCCCCAGGAUGAAUGCAAGGCCUUGGCAUAAUCUAAUGAUGACUUAUAUUACUCCACGAACGCCUCCAAGUCUUUAAAGUAUUUCGCAAAGGCCUUAUACCGUUCCACAGCCUCCUCUGGAGCUCAAGCCAAAAUGAACCGCAGGUUAUCAAUCUCCGUCCCUUGCUUGCAGGCUUGAGCCUCCAAAGCCUCAAGAGACUUCUUCAAAGAAGAAACUUUCUUCUUGUGCUGAUGAGCUUCAUUCUUCUUGUCCUCGG